rnacentral:sRNA from 1 species
GCCGGCCUGAUAAACAGACCUACUUUAUGUACGACAUCUUGAGUUAAUGAGUUAUGUGUAAGUGUUAUCCUCAGAUAGCCUUUGUUGACGCGUUUCCUUCUUAGUGCCUCCAUAAGUAAUAGCUGAUAACUGGCCAGUACAUGCCCAUGUUGGCAAAUUUUUUUUGAUAUAUAGGAAAGUCACAAUGUCUGACAAAAUGAAAGGUCAAGUGAAGUGGUUCAACGAGUCUAAAGGCUUUGGUUUCAUCACCCCAGCUGACGGUAGUAAAGACGUAUUCGUUCACUUCUCUGCCAUUCAGGGUAACGGUUUCAAGACUUUGGCAGAAGGCCAGAACGUAGAAUUCACCAUUGAAAAUGGUGCUAAAGGCCCAGCAGCAGCAAACGUAACUGCUAUCUGAUUGCCUGAAUGAUUUUUAAGUCCGUCAUUGUCUUAUAUAGUGGCGGACUUUUU